GAUGAAGAACGUAGCGAAAUGCGAUAAGUAAUGUGAGUUGCAGAAUUCAGUGAAUCAUCGAAUCUUUGAACGCACCUUGCACUCCUUGGUAUUCCGAGGAGUACGCCUGUUCGAGUGUUAUGAAGCUCUCAAAACGCAAUUGGCUUAAAACCUGAUUGUUGUUUUGGAUUUGAACUUUGCCGUGUUAUAACGGCUGGUUUUAAAAGUAUUAGCUGGUACUAGAACGAAUUGGUUCUACUCAACGUGAUAAUUAUCUGAUCGUUGAGGACAUUCCUUUCACGAGGAAUGGCCAUAGUAAAUUCAAUGGACUGCUUCUAAUCUGGCUUUAAUUCUUUAUUGGAUUAACCACUUUUCAAAUCUGACCUCGAAUCAGGUGGGACUACCCGCUGAACUUAAGCAUAUCAAUAAGCGGAGGA
rnacentral:misc_RNA from 1 species